AUAUCAAUAAGCGGAGGAAAAGAAACCAACAGGGAUUGCCCCAGUAACGGCGAGUGAAGCGGCAACAGCUCAAAUUUGAAAUCUGGCCCCCGGGUCCGAGUUGUAAUUUGCAGAGGAUGCUUUUGGCGAGGUGCCUUCCGAGUUCCCUGGAACGGGACGCCACAGAGGGUGAGAGCCCCGUCUGGUCGGACACCGAGCCUCUGUAAAGCUCCUUCGACGAGUCGAGUAGUUUGGGAAUGCUGCUCAAAAUGGGAGGUAUAUGUCUUCUAAAGCUAAAUAUUGGCCAGAGACCGAUAGCGCACAAGUAGAGUGAUCGAAAGAUGAAAAGCACUUUGAAAAGAGGGUUAAAAAGUACGUGAAAUUGUUGAAAGGGAAGCGCCUGUGACCAGACUUGGGCCCGGUGAAUCAUCCAGCGUUCUCGCUGGUGCACUUCGCCGGGCACAGGCCAGCAUCAGUUUGGCGCGGGGGAAAAAGGCUCUGGGAAUGUGGCUCCUCCGGGAGUGUUAUAGCCCACCGCGUAAUACCCUGCGCCGGACUGAGGUACGCGCAUUGCAAGGAUGCUGGCGUAAUGGUCAUCAGCGACCCGUCUUGAAACACGGACCAAGGAGUCGUCUUCGUAUGCGAGUGUUCGGGUGCCAAACCCCUACGCGUAAUGAAAGUGAACGCAGGUGAGAGCUUCGGCGCAUCAUCGACCGAUCCUGAUGUUCUCGGAUGGAUUUGAGUAAGAGCAUACGGGGCCGGACCCGAAAGAAGGUGAACUAUGCCUGUAUAGGGUGAAGCCAGAGGAAACUCUGGUGGAGGCUCGCAGCGGUUCUGACGUGCGAAUCGAUCGUCAAAUAUGGGCAUGGGGGCGAAAGACUAAUCGAACCUUCUAGUAGCUGGUUUCCGCC
rnacentral:rRNA from 1 species